rnacentral:rRNA from 1 species
UACGAAGGGUGCAAACGUUGCUCGGAAUUAUUGGGCGUAAAGCGCACGUAGGCGGAUUGUUAAGUCAGGGGUGAAAUCCUGGAGCUCAACUCCAGAACUGCCUUUGAUACUGGCGAUCUUGAGUCCGGGAGAGGUGAGUGGAACUGCGAGUGUAGAGGUGAAAUGCGUAGAUAUCAGGAGGAACACCUGUGGUGUAGACAGCUUACUGGACCAUCACUGACGCUGAGACACGAAAGCGUGGGUAGCAAACAGG